rnacentral:lncRNA from 1 species
UCUCUGCCUAGAUAGCAACGACCGUCGUCGUAACCUUAUAGGUAGGUCUCCGGGAUUCUGACCCAAAGCAUGGGUCCGCUACACUCCCAUCUAUAUCAGGAGGUCGGUUUGGAUGGUCCAGCGAUUGCGUGGUUUCUCCGUCAACUUCCCCGAACCCAAUGAUUCGACUCUCGCACCUUCUUUGCUACGCGAGGAAAGAGGGAACCCCAUCGAUACGAAAGCUUCAUCGGCAGCGGAGAGGAGAGGGGGAUGAAUGGUAGCUUUCGAAACGAGGUGCACCGGGCCGCCUUCGUGGUCCCGCGCUGGGACACGUUUCGAGCAAAUCAAAUGUCGCCAUUAAUGCUCUGAAAGCGAAGUCUCAACCACCGUCCGGGAUCUCCGCCCGUUUACCUCGACGCAUCUCCGAUGCCUGGAUUCCGAGGGCAUCGACUCACCCCAUCAACGAUUCACCGUCGUCCCAGAUGACGACAACAGUGCCCACGGCCAUCAUCGUCGUCUCACCACUACAAUAUUAAAAACGAUCCCAGCACAUGCGUCUCCGCGCCUGACCGAUCUUGAUCGCUCGCAUCGACUGUUGGACUCCACGGAGGAAGACAAGGUCUGUGGGCAUCGCGCGGUGCGAGACAUAUGCCGAGGGGUUGAGGGGGGGGAGUCACGAGGAUUGUCUACUCGGAACAGCGUCUCUGUCCACGGCGUGACUGUGCGCACGGCCGAAGAUCGAACGCCUGUCGGUAAAUUCGACGCUUAGAAGUUUGUAGCCGGCUCUCCCACGGGGAUGAGAGCAAGUGUCGGGCAUGGGAACUUGGAGCCCGCGCUCUACAGACGAAAGGUUGGUGAGAAGCUGACACGAGCAUCCCAUACUAGCUUAUCUCGCCACUCGAAAUAGAUUCCCUGCCGGGGGAAGGGACGACGAUCUCCGUGAUGGCCUUCGUGUUGGAUGGGAGUCGACAAGGGCCUUUUAUUUUUAUUUUUCUCCUUAUAAAUAGCAUACGUAGAUUCAUGCAUGCGUACUACAAAUUGGCAUCUGAUACAACGACAUGUUCCCAACUGAACUGAUCGCAUGAACGAUUUUGUUCUCCUUUCGGUCGGCCUUCUCACGAAAUUGUCGGAGAAUAUAACUACAGAGUAGGAUUCUGUCCCAUGUUUUUUCUUAAUGAAAUCUGGAUGAGAUUUUUGGUCUUCUUCUUCUUCUCUCUCUCUCUUUCUCUAAACAAAUUACGGCCGAUCAGUAUUGCAAAGGGUCCGAUGGAAUCUUUUUAAUCUUGGAAUCCGGAUAAGGGUCUAAAAAAUCAGCAAUCAAACGAGAUAUCUCAAUUUUGUGGCCCGUUUUGAUCCUUCGAGUCUAGCGGUCAGACCGUCGCAGUUCUUGGCAUGUGCGUCGGCGAAAAUGUCGAUGUCAGUCGCUCUCUUUGACGGAAGCCAAUCCCACAUCAUCCGGAUUGCUCCGUUAAGGAGUCGUCCGCUUUGAGCUCCGACCGAUCGGAUCGGAUUCCGAUCGACAGCCAGCCAGCCAGC